rnacentral:tRNA from 1 species
GCGCAUAUAGCUCAGGGGUAGAGCAUUUUACUGCAGAUCAAGAGGUCCCUGGUUCAAAUCCAGGUGCCCCCU